rnacentral:rRNA from 1 species
AUUGAACGCUGGCGGCGGGCCUAACACAUGCAAGUCGAACGAGGGGCGGAGGGGUGUGAAACGUCGGGAACCUGCCCUGAUGGAGGGGGUAAACUAUUGGAAACGGUAGUAAAACCCGAUAACCAUCAGGUGGGCGCAGAUGGGAUUAGCUGGUUGGUGGGGUAACGGUUCACCAAGGCGACGAUCCCUAGCUGGUAUGAGAGGAUGACCGGCCCAACGGGAACUGAGACACGGUCCAGAGUCCUACGGGAGGCAGCAGUGGGGAAUAUUGGACAAUGGGCGCAAGCCUGAUGCAGCCAUGCCGCGUGUAUGAGUAAGGCCUUCGGGUUGUAAAGUACUUUCAGCGGGGAGGCGUUACCUGCAGAAGAAGCACCGGCUAACUCCGUGCCAGCAGCCGCGGUAAUAC